rnacentral:misc_RNA from 1 species
AUCUUGUACUUCCUAAGAAAAAAAAAACUUUCGUUUCGUAGAAAAAUAUUGGAAUAUCGGAAUAUUAAAGAAGUUCUGAUGGUGACAAUACUACAUUAUUCAACUGAAUAAAGGUUGAAAGAGGAACCAUGUCUUUAAUAGAAGGAUUCGGAGAUGAAGUGACUAUAUUUUUGGGCAUUCUGUUAGUUCUAUUUAUAAUUUGUUUGGCAUGGAUUUCGACAAACAUACGGGACAUUCCCUUUUUCAGUGUAAUAAUUAUUGAACUAACUCAUAGAAGAAAUAGGAACACAGAAAAUACCAAUCAGACAGAGGGUUUGAGCUCUUCAGAAGCCAAUCCACCUAAUCAAAGCAGUCAAAAUAAUUCUGAAAAUGUAGUGGAAGACAUAAUACCACAAUCAGAAACAACAUCCCUAGACAAUGAACAAUCUUCUACCAUAGCGGAUGAAGUUUCAUCUGUAAAUAGUCAAAAUGGCGAAGAAGAGGAGACACGAGAAAACCCUAAAUACCGAUAUAAAUGUGACACAGGACACUAAAACUGAUAGCACUGAUUCUUCACAGCAAUUAGAUGAAACAGAGCUUCGACACAGACGUUUGAAUUUCUUUCAGGGUAAAAAUGAAAGUAGCACUAUAUCAAAUCCACAGACAGUUGUGGCAGACUCUUUGAAUUUAAAUCAAGAACAGGGGUCACCAGUUCUAAGUCCUGUGACAGAACCCAUUAACAGACAGCAAGAAUCUGUACCAUUGUCAGCCGAAAAUGAGACUGUCCAUUCUAGAGAAACAGAUUCAGAAACGGGGUUAAUUACUGUGAGAUUGAAAUACCUAAAUGAGACCCAAAGAAAUGUCACAGCAGCACCAAAUGUAACCAUUGGCCAGUUUAGAAGAGACCAUUUUGCCACAGAACUUUCUCAGAAUAAAUUGGUGCGGUUCAUCUUCAAUGGACAGGAUCUACGCAAUGACUCCAACACUCUCCAGAAUUACAACAUUGGAAACAACAGUGUAGUUCACUGCCUAAUCACUCAGGUCAACCAACAGGCCCCACCCCCACGCCAAGAAAAUCCAGGGCAGCUUUGACUUUGGGGUGGUAGUAUUGCCUAUCUUUGGUCUCCUCCUCUGUUUUCGUGUGGUACCUGCGAUUUGAGUACAGACAUUUCUUCACUGCCACCUCAACAUUUAUGUUAAUAGGACUUACCUUUUUGUUCAUUGCUGCCGUUUUGGCCUCAUGGGAUAGUCAGAGGCAUAGGGAGCGGAUUCCACAUCAGCACAUUGAUUAGGACUAAUUUGAAAGAUUAAAUGAUUUAGCAUUAGAUUUAUGUUUAUAUACUUGUAUCAGCACUUUUAUUUCUGAGCUGGAUUAAAGCUGGUAUUAAGUAAUACCAGGUUCUUGCUUUAUGUUACUUACAUGCAUAAUUGCGUAUGUACUGUUAAUGUACAAUGUAAUUUGCUUUUGAUGAUUAAGUUGUUAUGUUUGAUAAGUAAAAUCUAUGAUGAUGGUUUUCAUUUUUUUUCUUUCUAUUCAGUAGCGAUGAUGGAUCCUUGUACAUAUUGAUUUCUGUAUUGAUAGAAAAAAUACAAUAAGAUAAAUAUUCUAUUUGAUAGAAGGGCACAUGUAUUAGUUGUAUGGCGAGAUAUUUUUUUCACAUGUACAUCAAAAUUGUACAUGGUAAAUUUGAAAAAAAUGUUUUUUUAAGCAUAUUAUAUGUGUGAUACUAGUUAUGUGAUUGAUAACAUAUUAUUAUUUUCCUUUUUGUUAUUGUCUUUUGUGGACAGUUCAGGAGGUUACAAUUUUCCUGAAAAAUGUUUCUCUAUAACUCAUAAAAUUGUAUGUGACAGUUUUGUCAAAACAUACAAUACUUUAAGUCUUGUUUGUUUCUCAUUCCAUUUGUUUGACCCUAUGUUUAUUUAUUAUGAUAUCAGCAAGAUUGUUUCAAAGGUGGCAUUUUAUUUGUUUCUUAUUGUGGAUCAAGGUAAAGAUUAUCAUAAAUAAAAAUCCUAUCAAG